rnacentral:rRNA from 1 species
GAUCAAAAAAAAGCGAUAAAAAUAAAGAAGCAUGGACGACUCUCAAUGAGUUUAUUUCGCUAUGGUUUAGACUAUGUUCAAAUGGCGAUUCAGCGUUUAAUUGGUUUUGGGAAAAAAGAAGAGUUUAAGGAAAUUUUGGCAAUUUUAAGAAGGCAGAACCC